rnacentral:rRNA from 1 species
AUUGAACGCUGGCGGCAGGCCUAACACAUGCAAGUCGAACGGUAACAGGAUGCAGCUUGCUGCUUUGCUGACGAGUGGCGGACGGGUGAGUAAUGUCUGGGAAACUGCCUGAUGGAGGGGGAUAACUACUGGAAACGGUAGCUAAUACCGCAUAACGUCGCAAGACCAAAGAGGGGGACCUUCGGGCCUCUUGCCAUCGGAUGUGCCCAGAUGGGAUUAGCUAGUAGGUGGGGUAACGGCUCACCUAGGCGACGAUCCCUAGCUGGUCUGAGAGGAUGACCAGCCACACUGGAACUAAGACACGGUCCAGACUCCUACGGGAGGCAGCAGUGGGGAAUAUUGCACAAUGGGCGCAAGCCUGAUGCAGCCAUGCCGCGUGUAUGAAGAAGGCCUUCGGGUUGUAAAGUACUUUCAGCGGGGAGGAAGGGAGUAAAGUUAAUACCUUUGCUCAUUGACGUUACCCGCAGAAGAAGCACCGGCUAACUCCGUG